rnacentral:rRNA from 1 species
AACGCUGGCGGCGCGUUCAACACAUGCGAGACGAACGAGAAAGUGGAGCAAUCCAUGAGUACAGUGGCGUACGGUUGACCAACACGUGGGUAAUCUACCUCUUAGUGGGGAAUAACUCUGGGAAACCGGAGCUAAUACCGCAUAAGCUCGAGAGAGGAAAGCAGCAAUGCGCUGGGAGAGGAGCCCGCGGCCGAUUAGCUAGUUGGCAGGGUAAAAGCCUACCAAGGCAAAGAUCGGUAGCCGGCCUGAGAGGGCACACGGCCACACUGGCACUGAAACACGGGCCAGACUCCUACGGGAGGCAGCAGUGGG